AUUGAACGCUGGCGGCAGGCCUAACACAUGCAAAUCGGACGGUAGCACAGAGGAGCUUGCUCCUUGGGUGACGAGUGGCGGACGGGUGAGUAAUGUUUGGGGAUUUGCCCGAUAGAGGGGGAUAACCCCUGGAAACGGUGGCUAAUUCCGCAUAAAAUCGCAAGACCAAAGAGGGGGGCCUUCGGGCCUCUCCCUAUUGGAUGAACCCCGAUGGGAUUAGCUAGUAGGCGGGGUAAUGGCCCCCCUAGGCGACGAUCCCUAGCUGGUUUGAGAGGAUGACCAGCCCCCCUGGAACUGAGACACGGUCCAGACUCCUUCGGGAGGCAGCAGUGGGGAAUAUUGCCCAAUGGGCGCAAGCCUGAUGCAGCCAUGCCGCGUGUAUUAAGAAGGCCUUCGGGUUGUAAAGUACUUUCAGCGGGGAGGAAGGCGGUGCGGUUAAUUACCGCGUCGAUUGACCUUUUAAGGGGAAGAAGCCCCGGCUCACUCCGUG
rnacentral:rRNA from 1 species